UCUAAGUAUAACCUGCCAGACAGGGAAACUGCGUACGGCUCAUUACACCAGCCUUAAUUUACUUGACCUUGACAACCUACUUGGAUAACUGUGGUAAUUCUAGAGCUAAUACAUGCACCAAAGCUCCGAUCCUCGCGGAGAGGAGCGCAUUUGUUCGCCACAAAACCAAGCGCCCAUCUGGGCGUCCAGUGCUGAACCAGAACAACUCAAACUGAUCGCACGGUCUUGUACCGGCGACGUGUCUUUCAAGUGUCUGCCUUAUCAACUUUCGAUGGUAGUGUACCUGACUACCAUGGUUGUGACGGGUAACGGAGGAUAAGGGUUCGACUCCGGAGAAGGGGCCUGAGAAAUGGCCACUACGUCUAAGGAUGGCAGCAGGCGCGCAAAUUACCCA
rnacentral:rRNA from 1 species